rnacentral:antisense_RNA from 1 species
CUUGACGGAUCCGAGCCACAGCGGACGGUCCGCAGGGCGUUCCUGGCCGUAGGUGGCCAGGAGCGCCUGAGCCUC